GCACAAGCGGUGGAGCAUGUGGUUUAAUUCGACGCAACGCGCAGAGCCUUACCAGCCCUUGACAUCCCGGUCGCGGACUCCAGAGACGGAGUUCUUCAGUUCGGCUGGACCGGAGACAGGUGCUGCAUGGCUGUCGUCAGCUCGUGUCGUGAGAUGUUGGGUUAAGUCCCGCAACGAGCGCAACCCCCGUCCUUAGUUGCUACCAUUUAGUUGAGCACUCUAAGGAGACUGCCGGUGAUAAGCCGCGAGGAAGGUGGGGAUGACGUCAAGUCCUCAUGGCCCUUACGGGCUGGGCUACACACGUGCUACAAUGGCGGUGACAAUGGGAAGCGAAGGGGCAACCCCUAGCAAAUCUCAAAAAGCCGUCUCAGUUCGGAUUGGGCUCUGCAACUCGAGCCCAUGAAGUUGGAAUCGCUAGUAAUCGUGGAUCAGCAUGCCACGGUGAAUACGUUCCCGGGC
rnacentral:rRNA from 1 species